rnacentral:rRNA from 1 species
CAAGUCGAACGAGUUCUCGUUGAUGAUCGGUGCUUGCACUGAGAUUCAACAUGGAACGAGUGGCGGACGGGUGAGUAACACGUGGGUAACCUGCCCUUAAGUGGGGGAUAACAUUUGGAAACAGAUGCUAAUACCGCAUAGAUCCAAGAACCGCAUGGUUCUUGGCUGAAAGAUGGCGUAAGCUAUCGCUUUUGGAUGGACCCGCGGCGUAUUAGCUAGUUGGUGAGGUAAUGGCUCACCAAGGCGAUGAUACGUAGCCGAACUGAGAGGUUGAUCGGCCACAUUGGGACUGAGACACGGCCCAAACUCCUACGGGAGGCAGCAGUAGGGAAUCUUCCACAAUGGACGCAAGUCUGAUGGAGCAACGCCGCGUGAGUGAAGAAGGCUUUCGGGUCGUAAAACUCUGUUGUUGGAGAAGAAUGGUCGGCAGAGUAACUGUUGUCGGCGUGACGGUAUCCAACCAGAAAGCCACGGCUAACUACGUGCCAGCAGCCGCGGUAAUACGUAGGUGGCAAGCGUUAUCCGGAUUUAUUGGGCGUAAAGCGAGCGCAGGCGGUUUUUUAAGUCUGAUGUGAAAGCCCUCGGCUUAACCGAGGAAGCGCAUCGGAAACUGGGAAACUUGAGUGCAGAAGAGGACAGUGGAACUCCAUGUGUAGCGGUGAAAUGCGUAGAUAUAUGGAAGAACACCAGUGGCGAAGGCGGCUGUCUGGUCUGUAACUGACGCUGAGGCUCGAAAGCAUGGGUAGCGAACAGGAUUAGAUACCCUGGUAGUCCAUGCCGUAAACGAUGAAUGCUAGGUGUUGGAGGGUUUCCGCCCUUCAGUGCCGCAGCUAACGCAUUAAGCAUUCCGCCUGGGGAGUACGACCGCAAGGUUGAAACUCAAAGGAAUUGACGGGGGCCCGCACAAGCGGU